rnacentral:rRNA from 2 species
AGGUUAAGUUAACAAGGGCGCAUGGUGAAUGCCUUGGCACUAGGAGCCGAUGAAGGACGGGACUAACACCGAUAUGCUUCGGGGAGCUGUACGUAAGCUAUGAUCCGGAGAUUUCCGAAUGGGGCAACCCAGCAGUUUUAAUCAACUGUUACCACUAGAUGAAUUCAUAGUCUAGUUGGAGGUAAACGCUGUGAACUGAAACAUCUCAUUAGCAGCAGGAAUAUAAAGAAAUUUCGAUUCCCUAAGUAGCGGCGAGCGAACGGGGAACAGCCCAAACCAAAGUGCUUGCACUUUGGGGUUGUAGGACUGAACAUUUGAGUUACCAAAGAACUUGAUAGUCGAAGGAUUUGGGAAAAUCCGCCGUAGAUGGUGAUAGCCCAGUAGAUUAAAUCAAAUUCUCUCAGUUCAGGAUCCUGAGUACGGCGGAACACGUGAAAUUCCGUCGGAAUCCGGGAGGACCAUCUCCCAAGGCUAAAUACUACCUAGUGACCGAUAGUGAACCAGUACCGUGAGGGAAAGGUGAAAAGCACCCCGGGAGGGGAGUGAAAUAGUUCCUGAAACCAUGUGCCUACAAUAAGUCAGAGCGCGUUAAUGCGUGAUGGCGUGCCUUUUGUAGAAUGAACCGGCGAGUUAUGAUCCCGUGCAAGGUUAAGACUAAAAAGUCGGAGCCGUAGCGAAAGCGAGUCUGAAAUGGGCGAUUUGAGUACGAGGUUAUAGACCCGAAACCAGGUGACCUAUCCAUGUCCAGGUUGAAGGUGCGGUAAAACGCACUGGAGGACCGAACCCGUGUAAGUUGAAAAUUGCUGGGAUGAGGUGUGGAUAGCGGUGAAAUUCCAAACGAACUUGGAGAUAGCUGGUUCUCUCCGAAAUAGCUUUAGGGCUAGCCUCGGAUUAAGGAUCAUGGAGGUAGAGCACUAUUUGGACUAGGGGCCCGUCUUGGGUUACUGAAUUCAGAUAAACUCCGAAUGCCAUUGAUUCAUGUCCGGGAGUCAGACGAUGAGUGAUAAGAUCCACCGUCGAAAGGGGAACAGCCCAGACCAUCAGUUAAGGUCCCUAAAUGUAUGCUAAGUGGAAAAGGAUGUGGAGUUGCAUAGACAACUAGGAUGUUGGCUCAGAAGCAGCCACCAUUUAAAGAGUGCGUAAUAGCUCACUAGUCGAGUGAUCCUGCGCCGAAAAUGUACCGGGGCUAAGCAUACUACCGAAACCAUGGAUGCGACCAUUAGGUCGCGUGAUAGGAGAGCGUUCUAAGGGCGGUGAAGCAAGAUCGUGAGGACUUGUGGAGCGCUUAGAAGUGAGAAUGCCGGUAUGAGUAGCGAAAGAUAGGUGAGAAUCCUAUCCACCGAAUGACUAAGGUUUCCUGGGGAAGGCUCGUCCUCCAGGGUUAGUCGGGACCUAAGUCGAGGCUGAGAGGCGUAGACGAUGGAUAACAGGUUGAGAUUCCUGUACUAGUUAAGUGCGUUUGAGCAAUGGAGGGACGCAGGAGGCUAAGAUGUGCAUUCUGUUGGAUUAGAAUGUCCAAGCAGUAAGUCUUGUGGAGAGUCAAAUGCUUUUCACUUUAAGGACAAGCUGUGAUGGGGAGCGAAAUUUAGUAGCGAAGCGUCUGAUGUCACACUGCCGAGAAAAGCUUCUAGUGAGUACUUAACUACCCGUACCGCAAACCGACACAGGUAGUCGAGGAGAGAAUCCUAAGGUGAGCGAGUGAACUCUCGUUAAGGAACUCGGCAAAAUGACCCCGUAACUUCGGGAGAAGGGGUGCUGAUCGCAAGAUCAGCCGCAGUGAAUAGGCCCAGGCGACUGUUUAUCAAAAACACAGGUCUCUGCAAAAUCGUAAGAUGACGUAUAGGGGCUGACGCCUGCCCGGUGCUGGAAGGUUAAAAGGAUGGGUUAGCUUCGGCGAAGCUCAGAAUUGAAGCCCCAGUAAACGGCGGCCGUAACUAUAACGGUCCUAAGGUAGCGAAAUUCCUUGUCGGGUAAGUUCCGACCCGCACGAAAGGCGUAACGAUCUGGGCACUGUCUCAACGAGAGACUCGGUGAAAUUAUAUUGUCCGUGAAGAUGCGGACUACCCGCGACAGGACGGAAAGACCCCAUGGAGCUUUACUGUAGCUUGAUAUUGAGUGUUUGUACAGCUUGUACAGGAUAGGUAGGAGCCAUAGAAACCGGAACGCUAGUUUCGGUGGAGGCGUUGGUGGGAUACUACCCUCGCUGUAUGACCACUCUAACCCGCACCACUAAUCGUGGUGGGAGACAGUGUCAGGUGGGCAGUUUGACUGGGGCGGUCGCCUCCUAAAAAGUAACGGAGGCGCCCAAAGGUUCCCUCAGAAUGGUUGGAAAUCAUUCGCAGAGUGUAAAGGCACAAGGGAGCUUGACUGCGAGACAGACAGGUCGAGCAGGGACGAAAGUCGGGCUUAGUGAUCCGGUGGUACCGUAUGGAAGGGCCAUCGCUCAACGGAUAAAAGCUACCCUGGGGAUAACAGGCUUAUCUCCCCCAAGAGUCCACAUCGACGGGGAGGUUUGGCACCUCGAUGUCGGCUCAUCGCAUCCUGGGGCUGUAGUCGGUCCCAAGGGUUGGGCUGUUCGCCCAUUAAAGCGGUACGCGAGCUGGGUUCAGAACGUCGUGAGACAGUUCGGUCCCUAUCCGUCGCGGGCGUAGGAAAUUUGAGAGGACCUGUCCUUAGUACGAGAGGACCGGGAUGGACAUACCUCUGGUGUACCAGUUGUGCCGCCAGGCGCAUCGCUGGGUAGCUACGUAUGGAUGUGAUAAACGCUGAAAGCAUCUAAGUGUGAAACACACCUCGAGAUGAGAUUUCCCAUUCCUUUAUGGAAGUAAGACCCCUGAAAGAUGAUCAGGUAGAUAGGUUAGAAGUGGCAGUGCGGUGACGCAUGAAGCGGACUAAUACUAAUCGGUCGAGGACUUAACCAAG